ACCUGCGGAAGGAUCAUUAUUG
rnacentral:rRNA from 1 species